CUUGGCUUCCAUACCUGUCUGUGGCAAAGAAUUCCUCAGAUUCACCACCCUCUGACUAAAAUUCCU